AACUCUAGGCGGUGGAUCACUCGGCUCGCGCGUCGAUGAAGAGCGCAGCAAACUGCGUGAAGUAGUGUGAAUUGCAGGACACCUUGAUCAUCGACAUCUCGAACGCACCUUGCGGCCGAGGUUUCAAGCCUCGGCCACGUCUGUCUGAGGGUCGGCU
rnacentral:rRNA from 1 species